UACAGAGACUGCAAGCGUUAUUCGGAUUCACUGGGCGUAAAGGGUGCGCAGGCGGCCAAGUGUGUCAGGUGUGAAAUCCCGAGGCUUAACCUCGGAACUGCGCCUGAAACUACUUGGCUAGAGUACUGGAGGGGGUAACGGAAUUCACGGUGUAGCAGUGAAAUGCGUAGAUAUCGUAAGGAACACCAGAGGCGAAGGCGGUUACCUGGACAGUUACUGACGCUCAGGCACGAAAGCGUGGGGAGCAAAAGGG
rnacentral:rRNA from 1 species